rnacentral:misc_RNA from 1 species
GAUGAAGAACGUAGCGAAAUGCGAUAAGUAAUGAGAAUUGCAGAAUUCAGUGAAUCAUCGAAUCUUUGAACGCACAUUGCGCCCGCCAGUAUUCUGGCGGGCAUGCCUGUCUGAGCGUCAUUUCAACCCUCAGCCCCCGCUCGCGGGGCGCUGGCGUUGGGGAUCGGCCGUCCUCGCGGCGGCCGGCCCCGAAACACAGUGGCGGUCUCUCGCGGACUCCCCUGCGUAGUAGCACUACCUCGCAGAAGGGACGAGCGGGCUGACCACGCCGUAAAACCCCCCACUUCUCCAGGUUGACCUCAGAUCAGGUAGGAAUACCCGCUGAACUUAAGCAUAUCAAUAAGCGGAGGA